ensembl:lncRNA
CCUCCACUUAGAUGGAGAUAUAAGGACCAGACGUUGUGUGCGUGCAUUACGGUGUCUGUAACCACACCCCUUCUCCUGUUGAGGUGCUUUCCUGAUUUGCCGGCCCUGUAUUCCUAGCCUUCCCUCUGACGCUCGCCUUCGGUAUGUCCUUGUCCCUGCAUGUUCAGUGAGGAACCGUACUUCGCCGCUGACCUCGUCGUUCCAGUUAUAACUGUUAAGCCUCAUCUGCUUAGCCAGUGAGACUCCGUGACCGUGCUGAAGGGCCUGAUCACAAAGGUCCUAGGUGCUUCCAGAGGGAGGCUAGGCACCUGGUGGUGGGCCCCUGUCACUGCAUGCGGGUGUGCCGUGUUGUGCUGGGUGUGAUGUGGGUUGCUUGCCGUGUCAUAGUUCACCUUAUAACCACUUCUUUGAGUGUGUGUGUGCACGUGUGAGCGGUGUGGAUCCAAGAGCACGCCGUCUGCUAGUCUGCCUCCCUCAGGUAAGUCCUACUUAGCACUGCCUAGACUCUAGUCUAAUAGUUUCCCUGUUUUAGCCUUACUGACAUGAAUGAUAUGCAAUAAAUAUAUUUUUGUAUCUUGCUAACUUGUCAGUCCC